rnacentral:rRNA from 1 species
AGAGUUUGAUCCUGGCUCAGGAUGAACGCUAGCGACAGGCUUAACACAUGCAAGUCGAGGGGCAGCGGAGGCGAGUGCUUGCACUUGCCAGACGGCGACCGGCGCACGGGUGAGUAACACGUAUGCGACCUGCCCGUAGCAGGGGGAUAAGCGGAAGAAAUUCCGUCUAAUACCGCGUAAUAUCUUUCGGGGGCAUCCCUGAGGGAUUAAAGGAAGCGAUUCCGGCUACGGAUGGGCAUGCGGCGCAUUAGCUAGUCGGCGGGGUAACGGCCCACCGAGGCGACGAUGCGUAGGGGUUCUGAGAGGAAGGUCCCCCACACUGGUACUGAGGCACGGACCAGACUCCUACGGGAGGCAGCAGUGAGGAAUAUUGGUCAAUGGCCGCAGGGCUGAACCAGCCAAGUCGCGUGAGGGAUGACGGUCCUGUGGAUUGUAAACCUCUUUUGUCAGGGAGCAAAGGGCGUCACGUGUGGCGCUUUGCGAGUACCUGAAGAAAAAGCAUCGGCUAACUCCGUGCCAGCAGCCGCGGUAAUACGGAGGAUGCGAGCGUUAUCCGGAUUUAUUGGGUUUAAAGGGUGCGCAGGCGGAAUGUCAAGUCAGCGGUAAAAUUUCGGGGCUCAACCCCGUCGUGCCGUUGAAACUGGCGUUCUUGAGUGAGCGAGAAGUAUGCGGAAUGCGUGGUGUAGCGGUGAAAUGCAUAGAUAUCACGCAGAACUCCGAUUGCGAAGGCAGUAUACCGGCGCUCAACUGACGCUCAUGCACGAAAGCGUGGGUAUCGAACAGGAUUAGAUACCCUGGUAGUCCACGCAGUAAACGAUGAAUACUAACUGUCCGGGCCGAUUGAGGUCUGGGUGGUACAGCGAAAGCGUUAAGUAUUCCACCUGGGGAGUACGCCGGCAACGGUGAAACUCAAAGGAAUUGACGGGGGCCCGCACAAGCGGAGGAACAUGUGGUUUAAUUCGAUGAUACGCGAGGAACCUUACCCGGGCUCAAACGACGGAUGGAUGUUUUUGAAAGAAGGCAGCCCUUCGGGGCAUCCGUCGAGGUGCUGCAUGGUUGUCGUCAGCUCGUGCCGUGAGGUGUCGGCUUAAGUGCCAUAACGAGCGCAACCCCCAUCGCCAGUUACCAGCAAGUAAAGUUGGGAACUCUGGCGAGACUGCCGGCGCAAGCUGUGAGGAAGGCGGGGAUGACGUCAAAUCAGCACGGCCCUUACGUCCGGGGCGACACACGUGUUACAAUGGCAGGUACAGAGAGAAGCGAUGCGGCGACGCAGAGCGGAACUUCAAAGCCUGUCUCAGUUCGGAUUGGAGUCUGCAACCCGACUCAAUGAAGCUGGAUUCGCUAGUAAUCGCGCAUCAGCCACGGCGCGGUGAAUACGUUCCCGGGCCUUGCCCACAAAGGCCGUCAAG